rnacentral:rRNA from 1 species
CUAGCCCUAAACGAUGAUCGCUUGGUGUAUUGGGUACCCAAUCCCAAUGUGCCGGAGCUAACGCGUUAAGCGAUCCGCCUGGGGAGUACGGUCGCAAGACUGAAACUCAAAGGAAUUGACGGGGGCCCGCACAAGCGGUGGAGCAUGUGGUUCAAUUCGACGCAACGCGAAGAACCUUACCUGGGCUCGAAAUGCAGUGGACCGGGGUGGAAACAUCCCUUCCCGCAAGGGCUGCUGUAUAGGUGCUGCAUGGCUGUCGUCAGCUCGUGUCGUGAGAUGUUGGGUUAAGUCCCGCAACGAGCGCAACCCUUAUUGCCAGUUGCCAUCAUUAAGUUGGGCACUCUGGCGAAACCGCCCCGGAUAACGGGGAGGAAGGUGGGGAUGACGUCAAGUCCUCAUGGCCUUUAUGUCCAGGGCUACACACGUGCUACAAUGGUCUAUACAAACCGUCGCAAACCCGCGAGGGGGAGCUAAUCGGAAAAAGUAGGCCUCAGUUCGGAUUGUAGUCUGCAACUCGACUACAUGAAGCUGGAAUCGCUAGUAAUCGCGGAUCAGAACGCCGCGGUGAAUACGUUCCCGGGCCUUGUACUCACCGCCGUACGGACCAGGACAU